rnacentral:lncRNA from 1 species
CUAAUGCAGGGGGCGUUUUUGGAAAAGCGCCGCUAAUGCUCAGGGCUUUAGCGGCGUUUGUUGAAAAGUGCCGCAAAAAUAUUUUAUCUUAAUUGGUUUAUUUAUAUUAAUUAAAAAAAUUCAAUUAAUUUCUAAUUGAAUAUUUAAAAUCUUAAAAAAAAUAGUGACACGUAAAAAUAAUUUGAAAUAAAACACAUGGAAAAAUAAAAAUACUAUUAUUUAAAAUAUUUUUAAAGUUUUUUGAGUAGAUAAUUACUGAUUGUGUUUGAAUUUAUAUAUUAAAAAAUUUCUUAUAUAAUCGUAAAAGAGAUAGUAUUAAUUUUAAAAUAUUAAAUUAAUUAUCACUAUAAUUUAGGGUUUUUGGUUUAGGGUAUAUGACUAAUUUAAAAUUUAAGGCCGGUUUAGGAGUUACUAUUUUAAGGUUAAUUUAG